rnacentral:rRNA from 1 species
UAUUCCCAAACAACUCGACUCUUCGAAGGAACUUUACAUAGGCCUGGAUCAUCUCAUCGCACGGGAUUCUCACCCUCUGUGACGUUCUGUUCCAAGAAACAUAGACAAGAGCCAGACCCAAAGAUACCUUCUUCAAAUUACAACUCGGACUCUGAAAGAGCCAGAUUUCAAAUUUGAGCUUUUGCCGCUUCACUCGCCGUUACUAAGGCAAUCCCUGUUGGUUUCUUUUCCUCCGCGCUUAUUGAUAUGCAUGGUCCGUGUUUCAAGACGGCUUUUCCUCCGCGCUUAUUGAUAUGCA